rfam:Salmo salar isolate Sally breed double haploid chromosome ssa03, whole genome shotgun sequence.
CCUACUCACUACUGUAAGUUGCUCUGGAUAAGGGCGUCUGCUAAAUGACUGAAA